GUAAUGAUUGACUGGAGGGGUAUGCGUUGUCAAAUUAAUGUUUAAUUAUCACUCUCAUCCUCCGUUAAUGUGUCUAUUGACAUGAACAUUGUUGAGGAUUUAAGAAAGAUAUUUCAAUUUAGGGUGAGUGUUUGUGGGUCCUCCCCAUAUUAAGGUGAGAGUAAACGUCUGCAUCAAUGUGAUUUUUGGCAUAAACAUUGUAGAAGAUUUUAGAAAUAACUGUUGGAAUCCAGCCCAAAUUGGAGGCCCAACCCAAGUGAAAGCCCAAGCCCCUUGGGAGUCCAACACUAUUGGCCCAGCCCAGCCCAAGCCCCUAGAUUUUAUCCUCUUCUUCUUUCUCUGGAUGAGAAUGGAAAGGAAAAAGAAAUAAAGACCGACAAAGAAGCUGCUGCGGCGCUGCGAAGAAAGUCAAGAAUGAAGGCAGGCGCUAGUCAAGAAUGGAGGCAGAGAAUGGCCGAAAGAAGAGCUAAGAAGUCUUCUAUUGAGGCUGGAUUUCUCCUAAAAUGGAACCCAUGGAGGAAAGAAAAAAAUACGCAGAUAAAUGUAGGGGGCUGGGGCCUUUGAUAGGGGCACACAGCAGAAUGCUGUGUGCAGAGGGGCGGGAGAUGAGGGUUUGCUAUGGUGCUUUGAGAGCACAAAGAGCAGAGAGGGUUGUGACUGUGAGAGCAAACAGUUAGAGAUGAGGAGUGCUGAGAGGUGAGGGAGAUGAGCUUCCUCCCUAUUGUACUCAUUGUAAUUUCCAUUUCCUGAGAUAGGAAUUAUUGGUUUCCUCUCCGUGGAUGUAGGCGAUUGGCCGAACCACGUAAAUCUGUGUCUUGUGUGUGUGGUUGAUUGGUUUAGAUGUGACUGUGACUAGUCCUUGGGCACAACAUAACAUGACAUUGUUGAAAUUUUUUGAAAGAUUUUGCCAAUUGGGAUGGUACAAUUUAUGGGUCGUCGGUUGUUCCCUUUGUUCGUGUGAGAGUAAUGAUUUAGUGGAGUUCAAUUAUCGCCAUAAGUCCGUGUCAAUGUAAUUUUUGACGUUUGAAUGCAGUUUCUUUCUUGCAGAAGUGAGGUUCAAUCUGACCUUGUACAACAAGUGCUUCUAAACAUGCAGGAAUGGUGGAAAUUUGUGAUUUCUUAAGACCUUUCUUGAAAUAUACAUGGGUUAUUCUACAUGUAAUGGUAUUGUCUCCGUUUGUUCUGUUAUUCUGAGUGCCCAAGUACUUAUUCUUAGAUGUUUUGGUUGCAAGGCAUUCGGCAUACCCAGGUACCAAGGCCCUGUGUCAGAAAAAAUGUUUGUGUAGCAUAUCCCAAUGAUGGACCCAUGACGCUUGAUCUUCAUUGAAUUAAAUUCUAUUUAUCUGUUGAAAAGAAAACUGAAAACUGGC
rnacentral:lncRNA from 1 species